rnacentral:rRNA from 1 species
CCUACGGGAGGCAGCAGUAGAGAAUCUUACACAAUGAGCGAAAGAAAGCAAGAGCAAAGCCGCGUGGGUGAAGAAGGUCUUCGGAUCGUAAAACCCUGUUUUUCGAGAAGAAAGGGCGGGAGAGUAACUGUUCACGUUUCGACGGUAGCUAACCAGAAAGCCACGUCUAACUACGGGCCAGCAGCCGCGGUAAUGCGUAGGUGGCAAGCGUUAUCCGGUUUUAUUGGGCGUAAAGGGAACGCAGGCGGUCUUUUAAGUCUGAUGUGAAAGCCUUCGGCUUAACCGGAGUAGUGCAUUGGAAACUGGGAGACUUGAGUGGAGAAGAGGAGAGUGGAACUCGAUGUGUAGCGGUGAAAUGCGUAGAUAUAGGGAAGAACACCAGUGGCGAAAGCGGCUUUCUGGUCUGUAACUGACGCUGAGGUUCGAAAGCGUGGGUAGCAAACAGGAUUAGAUACCCUGGUAGUC